UCUUCCAACCGUGUGGGCCCCCUUUCGCCCUUCCCCCCAUUUUCUCCUGACCUCCGUGUCAAUGGUCUCGCUCGCCGAAUGGUCCUUUCCGCCCCCAGGCCCACUGCCCCCCAUCCCUCUUCUGGAAACUUGAUUCGACCUGUAUCUCUCCAAACUCCGCUGCCUCACCUUUCGGUCCAGGUAUUCUGCCGGUUCACGGGAGUCUCCAUCCACGUUUAUGGAAUAUCCCCUCUGUGCCGGGUGCUCUUCUGGGCUCUGGAAUUUUUCGUGGUAAGCAGCACAAGGCCGCCCCCUAGUGGGGACGAUGGACAAUUUUAAAGAUAAAUGAUGAACAAGUAAUUUAGAUCCGGUUUUUGAAAGAAAGAAUAAGGGGGGAUGGGAUAGCGACUGGUGGUGGGAAGGGGAUAGUGGUUACUUUAAAUAGGGAUGUCAAGGGCAUCUAUUCCUGGGAGGUGACAUUUAAGUCUGAAACACAAACAGUUGGAUGGGCAUUCCAGGCAGAGGGAAUAGCAGGGGCAAAAACUAGAUCAAACUGGUCCUAUG